rnacentral:rRNA from 1 species
ACGUCUCAGUUCGGACUGCAGGCUGCAACCCGCCUGCACGAAGCUGGAAUCGCUAGUAAUCGCGAAUCAGAAUGUCGCGGUGAAUACGUUCCCGGGCCUUGUACACACCGCCCGUCAAGCCAUGGAAGCCGGGGGCGCCUGAAGUCCGGGACCGCGAGGACCGGCCUAGGGCGAAACUGGUGACUGGGGCUAAGUCGUAACAAGGUAAC